rnacentral:rRNA from 1 species
AUGAUGUGGAUUAAUUCGAUGCAACGCGAAAACCUUACCUACCCUUGACAUGUCUGGAACCUUGCUGAGAGGCGAGGGUGCCUUCGGGAGCCAGAACACAGGUGCUGCAUGGCUGUCGUCAGCUCGUGUCGUGAGAUGUUGGGUUAAGUCCCGCAACGAGCGCAACCCUUGUCACUAGUUGCCAUCAUUUGGUUGGGCACUCUAGUGAGACUGCCGGUGACAAACCGGAGGAAGGUGGGAUGACGUCAAGUCCUCAUGGCCUUUAUGUCUAGGGCUACACACGUACUACAAUGGCCGGUACAAAGGGCAGCCACUCAGCGAUGAGGCGCUAAUCCCAUAAAGCCGGUCUCAGUCCGGAUCGCAGUCUGCAACUCGACUGCGUGAAGUUGGAAUCGCUAGUAAUCGUAGAUCAGCAUGCUACGGUGAAUACGUUCCCGGGCCUU